AUGGCCUUCCGGAACAUCGUCCCUCUGUCCCUAGACAGCCCAACCCACGCUGUGUGUGUGCUGGGCGUGGAGCUCUUCUUAGACGUCAGUGGGUGUGCCCCGCCGGCGUGCGAGUCCUUCUCCGUGGACGCGUCUCUGGGCGUUGUGGUCCGUGUCUGCGGCGCAGACCCGGUGGAGAGCAGGGAGGGGCUGGCCGCGCCCCGCUGGCCCCUGUCGCGCCCCACAGACGUGCUGGUGGCAAUGACAUCCCCCAACUUCGCGGAGGACGAGGGCAAGGUCCUGGUCUUCUACCACCAGCCCAAGGAGGACACCCCCGUGGCCACGGCUGUACUCCACCUCACGGGCGUUGAGCUCUCCCUGGAUGUGGACAUCUACCGUAGCGGGCACUUCGAGGCGACUGACAAACAGGCUAAGAGAACCUGGGUCUGGGGCCCCGGUGGCUGGGGUGCCAUCCUGCUUGUGAGCUGCAGCCCUUCUGCCGCGGGCCAGCCCGGGGACAAGAACAAGGUGUUCUCCUCUGAAGAAGUAAAGAGUUUGUCCCAGAUGGUGCUGAAAGUUCAGGGGCCCAGCUGCAUUACAAAGAAUUACCGGGUGGUUCUCCACACCUCCAAGGAAGAGUCGGAGAAGGCAAGAGUCUACCGGCCACAGAAUGAUGGUUCCACGGCCUUCGAGUUGGUUCUGGGGCCUGACCAGCACACCUACACCUUGGCGCCCCAGUGGGAUGACAGGAAGGGUACCUUGAAGGAAACCUUCUAUGUUGAAGCCUUAGAGUUUCCAUCCGCCAGCUUCUCGGGCUUGAUUUCCUUCUCGGCCUCCCUGGUGGAAGAGUCUCAAGACCCGCUGGUUCCAGAGACUGUGCUGUACAAAGACACAGUGCUGUUCCGGGUGGCCCCCUGCAUCUUUGCUCCCACCACCCAGAUGCCUUUAGAGGUAUACCUAUGCAGAGAGCUGCAGGUCCAGGGCUUCGUGAGCGCGGUGACGGAGCUGAGCGAGAGGAGCAACAGCCAGGUGGCGUCCGUCUACGAGGACCCCAACCGCCUGGGCCGGUGGCUCCAGGAUGAAAUGGCAUUCUGCUAUACCCAGGCUCCUCACAAGACUGUCUCCUUGGUCCUGGACACCCCUCGGGUUGCCAAGCCUGACGAUUUCCCCAUGAAAUACUCACUGAGCCCUGGGGUUGGCUACCUGACUCUGCGCACCCAGGACCACACGGUGGCCAGCAUAGACAUCAUUGGGAAACUGAUGGUGUCCCCCCCUGUGAAGGCCCAAGGAAAAGAGUACCCUCUGGGCAGGGUCCUCAUCGGCAGCAGCUUUUACCCCAGCAAGGACUCCCGGAACAUGAGUCAGAGCCUCCAGGACUUCCUCCGUGCCCAGCAAGUCCAGGCCCCGGUGGAACUCUUCUCCGACUGGCUGAUGACCGGCCAUGCCUGCGAGUUCAUGUGCUUUAUCCCCACACAGUACAAGGUGGAGGGCAAAAAGGACUUCCGGCUGCUCCUGGCCAGCCCCAGCUCCUGCUACAAGCUGUUCAAGGAGAGACAGAAGGAGGGCUAUGGAGACGCAAUGCUCUUUGAAGGGCUUAGGAAGGACCAGCUCAUUUCUAACGGGAGGGAGGCUGUUACCAUCAACCAACUUCUGGCUGAUGAAAAGAUGAGGAAGCACAAUGACUAUGCUGAGAAGUGCAUCCACCUGAACCGCAGCAUCCUCAAGAGGGAGCUGGGCCUGCAAGAGGAGGACAUCAUCCCCAUCCCGCAGCUCUUCUGCCUGGAGCACAUCGCCAACGCGCCCCCCAGCGAGCAGACCAAGAGGCUCUACGCCCGGCCCUACUUCCCCGACCUGCUGCAGAUGGUCGUGAUGGGCCUGAACCUGGGCAUCCCCAAGCCUUUCGGGCCCCGGGUCAGCGGCGCCUGCUGCCUGGAGGAGCGGGUCUGCCAGCUGCUGGAGCCGCUGGGCUUCCAGUGUACCUUCAUCGACGACUUCGACUGCUACCUGACCGAGAUCGGAGACUUCUGUUCCUGCGCCAGCAUCCGCCGGGUGCCCUUUGCCUUCAAGUGGUGGGGCAUGGUCCCCUAG
rnacentral:lncRNA from 1 species